UAUACAGGGAAGGAACAAAAGAGCUAGGGAGCCGACAGAAGAGAGUGAGCAUAUAUAGUUCUUUCCUUGCAUA
rnacentral:miRNA from 1 species